rnacentral:rRNA from 1 species
CCUACGGGUGGCAGCAGUGAGGAAUAUUGGUCAAUGGACGCGAGUCUGAACCAGCCAUGUAGCGUGAAGGAAGACUGCCCUAUGAGUUGUAAACUUCUUUUGUAUGGGAGUAAACGGAGCUACGUGUAUCUUUUUGUAAGUACCGUAUGAAUAAGGAUCGGCUAACUCCGUGCCAGCAGCCGCGGUAAUACGGAGGAUCCGAGCGUUAUCCGGAUUUAUUGGGUUUAAAGGGUGCGUAGGUGGUUUGAUAAGUCAGUUGUGAAAGUUUGAGGCUCAACUGUAAAAUUGCAUUUGAUACUGGUAGGCUUGAGUACAGUAGAGGUAGGCGGAAUUCGUGGUGUAGCGGUGAAAUGCUUAGAGAUCAUGAAGAACUCCGAUUGCGAAGGCAGCUUACCAAGCUGCUACUGACAUUGAGGCACGAAAGUGUGGGGAGCAAACAGGAUUAGAUACCCGGGUAGUC